rnacentral:rRNA from 1 species
UACGUAGGGGGCUAGCGUUGUCCGGAUUUAUUGGGCGUAAAGAGCGUGUAGGCGGCCAUGUAGGUCCGGUGUGAAAACUCGAGGCUUAACCUCGAGAUGUCAUCGGAAACCAUUUGGCUAGAGUCCGGAAGAGGAGAGUGGAAUUCCUGGUGUAGCGGUGAAAUGCGCAGAUAUCGGGAAGAACACCAAUGGCGAAAGCAGCUCUCUGGGACGGUACUGACGCUGAGACGCGAAAGCGUGGGGAGCAAACAGG